AUUGAACGCUGGCGGCAGGCCUAACACAUGCAAGUCGAGCGGAGCGGCGGACGGGAGAGUAAUACCUAGGAAUCUGCCUGGUAGUGGGGGAUAACGAUCGGAAACGGACGCUAAUACCGCAUACUAUCAGAUGAGCCUAGGUCGGAGUAGUUAGUUGGUGAGGUAAUGGCUCACAAAGGCUACGAUCCGUAUCUUGUUGGAGAGGAUGUUCAGUCACCCUGUAACUGAGACACGGUCCAGACUCCUACGGGAUGCAGCAGUGGGGAAUAUUGGACAAUGGGCGAAAGCCUGAUCCAGCCAUGCCGCGUGUGUGAAGAAGGUCUUCGGAUUGUAAAGCACUUUAAGUUGGGAGGCGUUACCGACAGAAUAAGCACCGGCUAAUUCUGUGCCAGCAGCCGCGGUAAUAC
rnacentral:rRNA from 1 species